AUUGAACGCUGGCGGCAGGCCUAAUACAUGCAAGUCGAACGGUAGCACAGAGAGCUUGCUCUCGGGUGACGAGUGGCGGACGGGUGAGUAAUGUCUGGGAAACUGCCCGAUGGAGGGGGAUAACUACUGGAAACGGUAGCUAAUACCGCAUAACGUCGCAAGACCAAAGUGGGGGACCUUCGGGCCUCACACCAUCGGAUGUGCCCAGAUGGGAUUAGCUAGUAGGUGGGGUAAUGGCUCACCUAGGCGACGAUCCCUAGCAGGUCUGAGAGGAGGACCAGCCACACUGGAACUGAGACACGGUCCAGACUCCUACGGGAGGCAGCAGUGGGGAAUAUUGCACAAUGGGCGCAAGCCUGAUGCAGCCAUGCCGCGUGUAUGAAGAAGGCCUUCGGGUUGUAAAGUACUUUCAGCGGGGAGGAAGGCGGUGGAGUUAAUAACUUCACCGAUUGACGUUACCCGCAGAAGAAGCACCGGCUAACUCCGUGCCAGCCGCCGCCGUAA
rnacentral:rRNA from 1 species